rnacentral:RNase_P_RNA from 1 species
GAAGCAAGCCAGGCCGCCGCUGGUGCAAGGACCGAAAGGUCGCACUGGAGGAAGGUCCGGACUGCACAGGGCGGCGUAGCAGCUAACGGCUGCCCACCGCGAGGUGAGGAUCAGAGCAACAGAGACGAGUCGACGCGGGGCCCCGGCCCCGCGUCGGGUGAAACGGGCAAUCUCUACGCGCAGCAACACCAAGUAGGCAUGCGUCGGGUGGAGCGGUACGCCGCCCCGCCCGGGCCCUGGCCCGGGGCAUGCAUGCGGGUCGGUGGCACCGAGCCGGCGAGCGAUCGCCGGCCCAGAUGAAUGGCGGCCACGCCGGGGGCCUCGCAAGGGGUUUCCGGUGCACAGAAUCCGGCCUAUCGGCUUGCUUCACAC